rnacentral:rRNA from 1 species
CCGGGUGAGUAACACGUAUCCAACCUGCCGUCUACUCUUGGCCAGCCUUCUGAAAGGAAGAUUAAUCCAGGAUGGCAUCAUGAGUUCACAUGUCCGCAUGAUUAAAGGUAUUUUCCGGUAGACGAUGGGGAUGCGUUCCAUUAGAUAGUAGGCGGGGUAACGGCCCACCUAGUCAACGAUGGAUAGGGGUUCUGAGAGGAAGGUCCCCCACAUUGGAACUGAGACACGGUCCAA